AGCGGCCGGGGCGGAGGGGAACGGUUGCCCCCCAGGGGGCGCCCAACUAGGGGACGCUCAGGAGGGACAGAGGCGACAGAAUGCCCAACCUGACUGGAGACCUCUACCCAGCUAGAAGAGGUGCACCCUCCAGCGCCCCCAGUUCCCUACACACCCGCGUGCGCCCGCUCACACACCCACACCCGGGAAAGGGGAGGGAGGCGCGGACGAUGCACUGCCCGGCGCACGCCAGGAGCGCGCCCCCAAAGUGAGGGGGGCGUAAGUCCUUUGCCGCCGGGCCCUCCAACCGACCGUCCUAGCAAAUGAGUUUUGGGGUUCUGCCCCGCCGAGUGACCGACCUUAGAGUUUCCCCUACCCAAUUUCUAGAUGCUAGUGCUCGGGUCGGGGUGACCUUUGGGCAUGGGCUCCUCUGACCCGAGAGAGAAGGAUCCCAGAUGCCCUCUCUAUAUUUCUCUUCUGCUCUUAAAACACUCGCCAAAUCCUCGGGAGGGUCGCAUUCCCCCGCUGGACUUUGGGAACUUUUAAUUUGGGGUUGCCGGGUGCGAAAAGCUUAGUUUACGAAGUGUGUAAGAUGACAGGGGGCUUCCCUACCCGUGGUGCGUGGGGACAGCCUGAGCUGUGCCCUCGCUCUUGCUGAGACUCUCCCGGGAUGUCAGGUAAGGCGCAGAUAAAUCGCGAGCGGGAGGUGGUUCCUUCCGCGGACCCAGCGCGGAAUCCGGACUCCCUGCCCCCACUCUCGCACACACCCCUUUCUUGCUGCCACGGAACGGCGAUAGCAGCUGUGAGAACGGACGCGGGCCUUAGCGACCAAGGACUGGAACGGGCGUCGCGGGUUAUCAGCCGCAUCUGUCAGCGGCGCGGGCCAGGACACGGGUCGAGCUCCCUGUCGCCCACGGAGAAGACAGGGGAGAACGAGGUCAGGAGGCGCGAUCCUGCGGGAUGGCUCCGCGCAUCCAGCUCUCCCCCUCCCCAGGUUAAUAGAAGUAAAUGAUUUUCUAAAGACGGCAUCAGAAAUAACUGUGCAAGCACCUCAUGGAAACGCGGCACUGCACCCUCACCCACCUUCUGACCGGAUCCAGGCCCUGCGACCCCAGCUCCCUCCAACAUCAACAUGACUCUGAAAGGGGAACAUUUUCCAUCAAUGCAGGACAUCUGGGCAGCCACAGUGGCCCUACCAUAUGCUCGCGAGAGAGCCACUCCAGGAGCUCGCUGGGUGGCGUGGACCCGCAGGAUGAAGGUCCCACCCAGGGAGAGAAACAAAUUCAAAACAAAGCAGCUUCCAGGCUGCCCGUGGGAUCCUGUGGAGACCUCCUCAUGAUGACCACGCAGGGAGGAAUGAGAAGGCAUCAACUGGGACACAGGAAGAUGCAUCCACCAGAGUCCUCCAAGCCUCAGAUCAAGGAUGGGGUCCUGAUUCUUGGGAACCCUGGUACCGAGGGACCUGAGGCUCAGGCAAAGCGGGGAUGCAGGUCAUAGCCCCACGCCAGGGCCUCCAGACCCCUGGGACCCUCAUCGGCCCAAGACUCAGUCCUUCCUUUUGUGGAGGGC